GCAGGGCCAGCCAGACCAUUGGUCCCAAUGGGACAACGGCUUUAGGCGGCACUUUGACAGGGGCGGCAUUAUGUGGAGUGGUCCUUUAAAGACCAUUCAAUUCCAGAAAUGCUAGCAAAUGUACAGAUUUUAAUUUAGAGCUAUUUAAAGGACCACUAAAGUGCCAGGAAAAUAAAUUAGUUUUCCUGGCACUAUAGUGCCCUGAGGGGGCCCCCACCCGCAGGGACCCACUCCCGUGGCACAGAAAGGGAUGGAAGGGGUUAAUCCCUUACCUCUUUUCCAGCGCCGGGCUCCCUCGGCGCUGGGACUCUCCUCCCUCUUCUUCAGUCAUCGGCUGAAUGUGCGUGCAUUCAGCCAGUCCAUAGGAAAGCAUUUUUAAUGCUUUCCUAUGGACGCUGGCGUCUUCUCACUGUGAAAAUCACAGUGAGAAGCGCGAAAGCGCCUCUAGCGGCUGUCCAUGAGACAACCACUAGAGGCUGGAUUAACCCAUAGGUAAACCUAGCAGUUUCUCUGAAUCUGCUAUGUUUACAGCAGAAAG